UUAAGCGACUAAGCGUACACGGUGGAUGCCCUGGCAGUCAGAGGCGAUGAAGGACGUGCUAAUCUGCGAAAAGCGUCGGUAAGGUGAUAUGAACCGUUAUAACCGGCGAUGUCCGAAUGGGGAAACCCAGUGCAAUUCGUUGCACUAUCGUUAACUGAAUACAUAGGUUAACGAGGCGAACCGGGGGAACUGAAACAUCUAAGUACCCCGAGGAAAAGAAAUCAACCGAGAUUCCCCCAGUAGCGGCGAGCGAACGGGGAGCAGCCCAGAGUCUGAAUCAGCUUGUGUGUUAGUGGAACGGUCUGGAAAGUCCGACGGUACAGGGUGAUAGUCCCGUACACCAAAAUGCACAGGUUGUGAACUCGAAGAGUAGGGCGGGACACGUGGUAUCCUGUCUGAAUAUGGGGGGACCAUCCUCCAAGGCUAAAUACUCCUGACUGACCGAUAGUGAACCAGUACCGUGAGGGAAAGGCGAAAAGAACCCCGGCGAGGGGAGUGAAAAAGAACCUGAAACCGUGUACGUACAAGCAGUGGGAGCACCUUCGGGUGUGACUGCGUACCUUUUGUAUAAUGGGUCAGCGACUUAUAUUCUGUAGCAAGGUUAACCGUAUAGGGGAGCCGCAGGGAAACCGAGUCUUAACUGGGCGUUAAGUUGCAGGGUAUAGACCCGAAACCCGGUGAUCUAGCCAUGGGCAGGUUGAAGGUUGGGUAACACUAACUGGAGGACCGAACCGACUAAUGUUGAAAAAUUAGCGGAUGACUUGUGGCUGGGGGUGAAAGGCCAAUCAAACCGGGAGAUAGCUGGUUCUCCCCGAAAGCUAUUUAGGUAGCGCCUCGUGAACUCAUCUUCGGGGGUAGAGCACUGUUUCGGCUAGGGGGUCAUCCCGACUUACCAACCCGAUGCAAACUACGAAUACCGAAGAAUGUUAUCACGGGAGACACACGGCGGGUGCUAACGUCCGUCGUGAAGAGGGAAACAACCCAGACCGCCAGCUAAGGUCCCAAAGUCAUGGUUAAGUGGGAAACGAUGUGGGAAGGCACAGACAGCCAGGAUGUUGGCUUAGAAGCAGCCAUCAUUUAAAGAAAGCGUAAUAGCUCACUGGUCGAGUCGGCCUGCGCGGAAGAUGUAACGGGGCUAAACCAUGCACCGAAGCUGCGGCAGCGACACGAUGUGUUGUUGGGUAGGGGAGCGUUCUGUAAGCCUGCGAAGGUGACCUGUGAGGGUUGCUGGAGGUAUCAGAAGUGCGAAUGCUGACAUAAGUAACGAUAAAGCGGGUGAAAAGCCCGCUCGCCGGAAGACCAAGGGUUCCUGUCCAACGUUAAUCGGGGCAGGGUGAGUCGACCCCUAAGGCGAGGCCGAAAGGCGUAGUCGAUGGGAAACAGGUUAAUAUUCCUGUACUUGGUGUUACUGCGAAGGGGGGACGGAGAAGGCUAUGUUAGCCGGGCGACGGUUGUCCCGGUUUAAGCAUGUAGGCUGGUUAUCCAGGCAAAUCCGGAUAAUCAAGGCUGAGGUGUGAUGACGAGGCACUACGGUGCUGAAGUAACAAAUGCCCUGCUUCCAGGAAAAGCCUCUAAGCAUCAGGUAACAUCAAAUCGUACCCCAAACCGACACAGGUGGUCAGGUAGAGAAUACCAAGGCGCUUGAGAGAACUCGGGUGAAGGAACUAGGCAAAAUGGUGCCGUAACUUCGGGAGAAGGCACGCUGGUGUGUAGGUGAAGUCCCUGCGGAUGGAGCUGAGACCAGUCGAAGAUACCAGCUGGCUGCAACUGUUUAUUAAAAACACAGCACUGUGCAAACACGAAAGUGGACGUAUACGGUGUGACGCCUGCCCGGUGCCGGAAGGUUAAUUGAUGGGGUUAUCCGUAAGGAGAAGCUCUUGAUCGAAGCCCCGGUAAACGGCGGCCGUAACUAUAACGGUCCUAAGGUAGCGAAAUUCCUUGUCGGGUAAGUUCCGACCUGCACGAAUGGCGUAAUGAUGGCCAGGCUGUCUCCACCCGAGACUCAGUGAAAUUGAACUCGCUGUGAAGAUGCAGUGUACCCGCGGCAAGACGGAAAGACCCCGUGAACCUUUACUAUAGCUUGACACUGAACAUUGAGCCUUGAUGUGUAGGAUAGGUGGGAGGCUUUGAAGCGUGGACGCCAGUCUGCGUGGAGCCAACCUUGAAAUACCACCCUUUAAUGUUUGAUGUUCUAACGUGGGCCCCUAAUCGGGGUUGCGGACAGUGUCUGGUGGGUAGUUUGACUGGGGCGGUCUCCUCCCAAAGCGUAACGGAGGAGCACGAA
rnacentral:rRNA from 1 species